CGGUGGGAGGAAGCCUCUGGGCAGGGUGGCUGUGCGGUGCCCCGCCUGGCUGUCCUCUCUUCUUCACCUUAUUUCCCUAAACUUCUGGCCCAGAUUUCCAGGCUCCGCCCAGCAAUCCCAGUUCUAAAUGCUUGCAAUGAAGCACACACAUGCUGCUGACUUCUGAGAUGCCUGCUGUGUUCAGGGUCUUGGGCUGGGCCCCUGGAGCUGGACACCUGGAGCUGGGUCCAGGUCUGGGGGCAGGGAGUGGUGGAAAGGGCUUUCCAGCCCUCAAGCACUCGGAUUGUUCAGGACCAGGCUAAGGUGAGAGACUUAAGUGACGCUGUGACCUGGCUCCUUGCCCCGACUCAUCACAGCCCUGCUCCUGUGGGUAACCAUGCUUGCAGGAGUUCCGUCUCCAAGCUCCAGAGGUCAACUGAGGACUCCUGCUCUGCUUUGACUGAGUGGCAGUGUGACGCAGUGAUUGUAAGAAGGACCCUGCAGCCAGGCAUUUUGGGUUCCAAAUCCCAGCUCUACCCUUUGCCAGCUGGGUGAUGUUAGGCAAGGCACAGAACCUGUGGUGCCUUAUUUUCUUCAUUUAUAAAACAGAGACGGUAAUGGUGCCCAGCCUGCAGGGCUGUUGUGAGAAGGAAACAAGUGAAUAUGUAUAGUGCCUGGCACAUUGCUAGGUACCAAGAAAGUAUUAAUAAUUCUUAGUACCUUAAGUUAUUAAAAUAUAAAUAUAAUUCCUGUUCUUACCCCAUAGCACUGGAGAGCUUAGCCUCAUUGACCCUCCUGUGACCAGCCCCUUUGCCUGUCAUGAUUUUUCCCCAUCAUGCCCCCAACUCUGGGUCUACAAUUGGGGAAUGUCUGGCUGCUCUGGCCAAGGUGUGGAAUCCUGGAAAGAGCAUAGGCUCGGGAGUGAUUCAGAGCUGGGUUUGGAGCCUGUGUUUAUCCUGGUGGGAUCACCUCCCCUCUGCACCUAAGUUCCUCCUUUUUCAGUAGUACCCUCCUCAGAGAGUGGUUAUAAGGACUGGAAAGAAAGCAUGUUCUGUUCCCAGCACCCAGAAAGCCCCAGUUCAUGUUAUUCCCUUCUUUGUGAUACAGAACAGGCUGAGUGUUUUCUCAAGAGGACCUGCCUGAGGACAGCAUGAAGGGGAAAGAGGUAGGCACUGAGUACAAGCUGGGGUGAGAAGGGGCAUCUCCCAGAGAGCUGGAUCCUUCUCAGAUGAGUGUCCAUCCAGACACAUCACCCCUGCAGGCUCUGCAGAAUGUACUCCUCACACCCCCAGAGGGGUGUGCGGGAGGCUGCCAGGCUAGAGAGGGAAGGCAGAAGCCUAGCAGGAACGUGGCACUUAGCUUGCUCCCUCCACCCUCAGGUCCCUUUUUCCCUCGGGCUCUGUGACCGUGCUUGACCGAGGGGUGCAAUCUAAGCACCUCUUAUGACACUCUGUGCCCCGGCUCCCGCUCCUGACAGCUGCCCCAGCAAAGUCAGAGACCUCAGGCUCUCAGCAGCCUCCCUGUGCUACCCAGCCACUCGAUCUGCUACUUAUAGAUACAUAGUUAGUACACAAUAAGGCCUCACAGCCUCCCUCCUCAGGGACCUGCACAGAAACAGCAGAAAGCCAGAAGCGCCGAGGGUGUGUCAGGAAGUCAGUCCUUCUGCACCCAAAUGUCAACCCCAGAACUGGACACAAAACUGCACCUGCACAGGCACAUUCCUGGGGCAUUCCCAGGAAUCUUCAUGUGGUUCUGUGUGCACAGAGAAGACACAACUGAAUGUGUGAAGUCACAGGCAGCAUAGUGACAGAAUUCAGGAUUCAGGUUGGACCCCAUGCCAGCCUGUCUUCUACUGUCCUCAUACCCUCCCAACCCUCCUGGGAGGGUGGCAGGAGAAAUUCCCAGGUGCAAGAAGGUGGGGGAAGGCGAUGGGGCAAGGCAAGGGAGCAGGUGCUGACUUUCCUCCAGCAGAGAAAGAGUUAAGCAACUAUUUUCCCCACCUCCCUGCCCCAUCUAAUAUGAAGGUCAUCAGGGCUAGGUGAGUACAGAUAAAGCAACUGGGUGGGAGGGGGAGGCCCCAGGGGAAGAGGGAGGCUUUUAGCAGGUGGAGGGAAGCUGUCAGGGUAAUGGCUUUUCCUGGCACAGCUGACUCCUCCGGGCCUUGAUGCUAUUCUAGAAUCUGGAGAGCAAGAAGGGCCUCUGAUUCUUCACAGAAUAGGAGCAGGGGACGAGCUCACUCCCUGCUCCCAGCCCCAUUCUGCACCCCGCAGAUGGGCACGUGGCUGAGUUCCAGGUUCCUGGGCUCCCUCAGGGCUCCCAAUGCAGUCUUUGAGCCCAGGGGACCUCUCCAAGACCUGCCUCCCUAGGUCUCUCCACAGGCUGUCUGCAAGGAGAGACCUCCCUCCCCGUCCCCCCAAAGACCAGCCUUGUUAGCUUGGACUCUCUGGCUCCAGGCAUCCAGAGCCAGGAGGAGGUAGUGGGUGGUUCCUGCUGUCUCAGGGUCAGAUUUAAUCCAGCCACAGCAUGGGCAGCCAUGCCAGGAUAGGACUGGAGUUGGGUUUAGAGUGCAGCAGCCCCAAGACCAAGCUGCAAGAAAAUGUAAACCCCCCUCAACCUGGUCUACCCUCCAGGCUGCUGGAAGAGUGUGUGUCUUUGACAAACUCCAGUCCCCAGCUAGGCAUUCCUGGGGCCCCCACCCUAGCGGGGGAUGAGGGGGCCAGGCCCAAGCGCAGCUGUGAGUGGGAGGGAACAAGGACUUUGCUUUCCUUCUGCAAGGUCAUGACGAAGGGAAAAUGUGUCAUCUGGUUCCUGGGGGAUGCAGCUGUGAGUGGAAGAAGUGAGCAUCAGAAAAGCAUGGGAUUUGAUGGACAGAAAGCAAGAGUGCUCAUAAGCUGCUUUCCCCCUGACUCCAGGGGACACACACACACAUCCACACAUACACACACACAUGCACACACACACACAGAUGCAUGCACACACACAUACAUGCACACAUGCACAUGCACAAGGCUGCCCAGAGAGGUGUGAGUACCAUACUGUACCCACUCUUGUUACCCAGCCCUCAAACUGCCUCCAGGGUCUUCUAUUCACACCUGAGCCUACCUCCCUCACCUGCCCUGCCUUCUUUUUGGCCUCUGACUCCCCUCAAAGCCUCAAAGCAUGAACAAUAGUCAAGGCCUGGCCUCCUCCUGGGCAGAGCUUUAGAAGCUGGGGCACAGGCAGCCUGACUUGUUUUGAGUGCCAAUCCCAGGCCAGUCACCAGGAGAGCAAAGGAAAGGGGAGGGGCCCGACUCAGAUCUGCUGUGGCUGCUGGGGUCCUGGCUGGGCAGGCUUGUAAAUCCUGAAAGAAUAGAGGGAUGUUCCCAGAAGCCCCUGGCACUGGGGAAGUCAGGCAGGCACUGGGAAUAAUGGAUAAAGAGCGGACCUUUAAGUGGAUGGAUGGUGGAAUAGGGGUAUUGGGCCCCUUUGACCUGGUCCAUCACAGCCCAUUGCUGGCUCACCUGGGAAACUGAGAGGGAGGUGAGGGAACUGGCAGUCCUGCAGGCCAGCUGUCGAGGUAUCAUGGUCAGGCCUCAAUCUUUCCUGAGAAGGUAGGGCAAUUCCCCUCUACCUGCUUCCUCCAUGCCAACUUCUGAGCCGGGGAGGCCUGUCUCCCCCAUCCUCCAGAAGUCCAAGAGGCUGCCAGACUCCCAGCCAUAGGCUAGGCCUGCCUCCAUCCCUGGAGGGCUCUGAAAAACCCAAUUACCUCUUCCCAAUCCAGGAGCCCAGUCUUAUGCAACAGGAGAUGGGAGCUGGCUUCUGCCGUGACAAUCAUCUGAAUGGGGUGGCCAAAGGCUGGGUUCCUGUGUUUCCAACCCCAAACCUGGAGGAGGCAGGGCUUAAACAGAUAGAUGGAGGAUCUUUCCACUUGGAGGAGGGAAGAUGAGGCUUGAGAGGGGCUGUCUGACUCAUGCAAGUGCCGGCUUGGGAGCAGGGGUUGGGGGAGUCAGGAGAGGGAGGCUGCGGUUCUCCCCUGACUGAGUCCCUCUCAAGGCCCCUUUUUGCCAUAGCCACAAGCAGUGUCCUCUGAGGCCAGGCAGGCAGAAGGGAAGAGCCCCGGGUCUCACACCUCUGGCCUUCGCCAAGUUCCCCUGGGAUUGCUGGCCAGGGUAUUGUGCCCGGGGACUCCUCAAAGGAGGAGCUGAGAUCUGAGGCAGGGAGUCAGUGCUAAAGCUCCCUUCUCUCCUCACCCCCGCUUCACCACACAACAGCCUCGACAAGGCCCCCAGUCCAUGCUGCCGCCUCCCCCAGCCCCAUGCUGAAGGCAGGGCAGCUGGUCCUUGUGGGUUUUGAGCCCUGGGAGGCUGCCACUUAAGGCAUGAGCGGGGCUGUUAUUCUCAGCAACGCAAGGGGCUCUCAUCCUGGGUUUCAUUUAUUAAUUGCACUCUAAUGAAGCAUCACUAAUUGCUGAUGGUGCUACAACACUGCAGGUGGGCCUCAGUUUACAGAAUAAUUGACUCUGGAGCAAGGAGGGCGCCAACUGGAGGCCAGCAGUUCCCAGUCCAUGAGGGCCUGGCUCUUCCCCUGCCCUUACCUGCAGGGCAUGAGGGCUG